rnacentral:rRNA from 1 species
UACGAGGGGGGCGAGCGUUGUUCGGAAUUAUUGGGCGUAAAGGGUGCGUAGGCGGUUUGGUAAGUCUUAUGUGAAAUCUACAGGCUCAACUUGUAGUCUGCAUGAGAAACUGCCGGGCUUGAGUAUGGGAGAGGUGAGUGGAAUUCCUGGUGUAGCGGUGAAAUGCGUAGAUAUCAGGAGGAACACCUGUGGCGAAAGCGGCUCACUGGACCAUAACUGACGCUGAUGCACGAAAGCUAGGGGGGCAAACAGG